rnacentral:rRNA from 1 species
AACGAACGCUGGCGGCAGGCUUAACACAUGCAAGUCGAACGCCCCGCAAGGGGAGUGGCAGACGGGUGAGUAACGCGUGGGAAUCUACCCAGUUCUACGGAACAACUGAGGGAAACUUCAGCUAAUACCGUAUACGCCCUACGGGGGAAAGAUUUAUCGGAAUUGGAUGAGCCCGCGUUGGAUUAGCUAGUUGGUGAGGUAACGGCUCACCAAGGCGACGAUCCAUAGCUGGUCUGAGAGGAUGAUCAGCCACACUGGGACUGAGACACGGCCCAGACUCCUACGGGAGGCAGCAGUGGGGAAUAUUGGACAAUAGGCGCAAGCCUGAUCCAGCCAUGCCGCGUGAGUGAUGAAGGCCUUAGGGUUGUAAAGCUCUUUCAGUGGGGACGAUAAUGACGGUACCCACAGAAGAAGCCCCGGCUAACUUCGUGCCAGCCGCCGCCGUAAGAC